rnacentral:lncRNA from 1 species
UGCGAAAGCGAAACGCGAAACGCGAAACGCCUAAAAUGCGGAAAAGCUGUGCGAAACGGACCCAAAAGUUGGGACCCUGUUUCGCAUUUUAGGCCUUGGGUCCGUACUAAAAUGCGAAAUCGGUGGGUGCGAAACGUCAACAGAACGUCAACAGACGACGCCAUUAACAUACUUGCGUCACAAAAAUCUACUCGUCAAGAUAAAAACACCUUGCAUUCGAGUUAGUUUAUCCUAGUUUCUGUUUUGUAUAUAAUUCGUUAAAUUAAAAGGAUAUUACAGUUUUGUGUAUUUACCUAUUGUAUUCAUGAUUUUGAUUUGUGAUUCACGUUAUUUGCCAUUCAAUCACCGCAAUACUUCUUAAACUUGAUAAUUAAAGUCAUGGGAGAUGUCCACUUCAUGAAACUCGCUUUGUCGUUUUGCUGAAGUAAGCUGUCUUUCUGCAAAGAAAUAAAUGAGAGUAAAGAAAAAACUUCCCAAUGUGAGGUGACAUGAUGUUUCACCUGAUACAUUGUAACCUACAUUCUCUGAGCAAUAAUUUGUUAUCCCUGUCAUAGAAAACCUUGGUGGAAUUCUGAGAGUGGUAAUAGUUUCAUAGCUCAUGCUGCCCAAGUAAUAGUGUGGAGCAGGUGUAUCUGUGCUUUACUUUUGCUACAAGCGCUAGAAGAUUGGCAUCACAAAUCAAAUCUUUGUAUUUUCAAUCUACAAUUCAGGUGGAUACAAUAUGUGUGCAUGUGCGCAUGGAAAGAACGCUCGUGUCGAUGACUUUGUCAACGGGGGGAAAAUGUGGUGUAGGCUGAUUUAUUUUAUACCUCGGUUGAAUCACUCAUCAGCCCGUCCCAAGACGCAUAGCUGACUUUUGACUUCAAUUUUUCAUAAUUUAAACCGAAAUAGUGUAGCGGCUGAAGAAAUAAAAUUUGAUUGCUCCCCCCUU